rnacentral:lncRNA from 1 species
CUGUAGUUUAAAAGAAAAUAAUAAAUAAUUAAGAAAUGUUCUUUUCGUACAACUAAUUAAUUUGGCUUACCCCGACAUCAAUCGUUUCGGUUGGAACAAAGAUAGCCAAAGAGGGUGUAAUAGUUUCUUUGGAUGGAAUGUCAGCCGAAGGAAUAUCCUCGGCUCUGUCUUUAGUGGUAUCAGCUGAAUGGGUACUUUCGGCUUAUUGAAAUUUUCUUUUAACAACUGAUUUACGCCGUUUGGAAGACGGCGGGGGAGUGAUUUGAACAACUUCAAUCGGUCUUUUGUCUGAAGCUGAAACCGACGGAGAAGCAGGAAUCGACUGAAAACAGAAAUAAACAAAAAUGAUGAGCAAAGAAAAAAUUAUGAUUAAGAUGAGUAGAGAAAUGAUAUUUUACCGAGGAAGAAGGCGGGGCAUCAGAAUUAGUGUCUGGUGGAGACUCAAUCUCGGUUGGAGAAUCUCUGCUCGGAGUGGUGGCUGUGUAUAAAAUAAAAGAUAAGUUACAGCCAUAUUAGAAGAAAAUUAUAAACAAGUAUUA